rnacentral:lncRNA from 1 species
GUAAGUAAAUCAGAGAAGAUAAAGGACCAGAAAUGAUUUGUUGUCUCUGAAUUUCUUAUUUGUGUUUCAGUGGAUUCAAAGGGCCCCCAGUGAAGAAAAGGCUCACUCGCUACUUGCAACCCCAGAAACUAUUAAAGAAACUGCAGGUCUUGUUUCGUGUAGAUGAAAGGCAGAUGGGAAGACAAAUGCUCAGAAAACUACCGUGAUUUGGACGUGCUCAGGUUUAACAUGAAAGUGGGAGCAAUAGCACUCAGUGGUGCCGUGCAGAAAAGGCAAACGCAGCGUGAUCCAUUUCAGAAACAAAGAGAAAAACUGUAAAGCCACUGUGCAGAGCAUCAGAGAAAUAUGAUCUGGAGUACCACGUUCCAUCUUACAUGCUAAUGCUCAGAUCAUAUCAGACUGGGUGAGCUUCACAAAUGGAUCAUUAGUAGCUUAUUUCUGCAUAAAACAUUCAAUGAGGGCCACAAUUUAAAACUUCACAUCGACCAGAAGGAAUCUGUGACAAAGAUUCUCAAGACACAUGGGAUGGAAAUCAACAGUGCUGGAAUCAGCCAUCAUACUGAAAACUGAACUUUGUAAGGGAGAGAAAUGCAGUACGUUUUAAUGCAGCUUCACAGCUUUUGGCAGUUACAUCUCCAGCUAAGAAGUUUGUACGUUAUUUUAUCAAUUAUUAACAUGGAACAUCAGCAAUCCUCUUUGGGAGUGAUUUCUGGGCUUUUAUUUCAAAUGGCCUGACUGAUAUCAGCACUUGGCAUUUUCUUGCCUCAGGGCUCAUAAAAUGUCUUUCAACUAUUUCAUCAUAAACUUCUCACUGAUAAUAAAUCUCUAUUUCUGUGUCUACCA